rnacentral:piRNA from 1 species
UAAAGACUGGUACCCUAACUCAUCUUCCAAC